rnacentral:rRNA from 1 species
UACGUAGGGGGCAAGCGUUGUCCGGAUUUAUUGGGCGUAAAGAGCGUGUAGGCGGCCUUACAGGUCAGCUGUGAAAACUCGAGGCUCAACCUCGAGACGUCGGUUGAAACCGUAUGGCUAGAGUCCGGAAGAGGAGAGUGGAAUUCCCGGUGUAGCGGUGAAAUGCGCAGAUAUCAGGAAGAACACCCGUGGCGAAAGCGGCUCUCUGGGACGGUACUGACGCUGAGACGCGAAAGCGUGGGGAGCGAACAGG